rnacentral:rRNA from 1 species
GACGAACGCUGGCGGCGUGCCUAAUACAUGCAAGUUGAGCGCUGAAGGUUGGUACUUGUACCAACUGGAUGAGCAGCGAACGGGUGAGUAACGCGUGGGGAAUCUGCCUUUGAGCGGGGGACAACAUUUGGAAACGAAUGCUAAUACCGCAUAAAAACUUUAAACACAAGUUUUAAGUUUGAAAGAUGCAAUUGCAUCACUCAAAGAUGAUCCCGCGUUGUAUUAGCUAGUUGGUGAGGUAAAGGCUCACCAAGGCGAUGAUACAUAGCCGACCUGAGAGGGUGAUCGGCCACAUUGGGACUGAGACACGGCCCAAACUCCUACGGGAGGCAGCAGUAGGGAAUCUUCGGCAAUAGACGAAAGUCUGACCGAGCAACGCCGCGUGAGUGAAGAAGGUUUUCGGAUCGUAAAACUCUGUCGGUAGAGAAGAACGUUGGUGAGAGUGGAAAGCUCAUCAAGUGACGGUAACUACCCAGAAAGGGACGGCUAACUACGUG